rnacentral:rRNA from 1 species
AGAGUUUGAUCCUGGCUCAGGACGAACGCUGGCGGCGCGCCUAACACAUGCAAGUCGAGCGAGAAUCUCUUCAGGGGUAACCCUGAGGAGAGGAAAGCGGCGAACGGGUGAGUAACACGUGAGGAACCUGCCCCGGACUCUGGGAUAACAGCGGGAAACCGCUGCUAAUACCGGAUACUCCAUUCUGUUCUCAUGAAAAGAAUGGGAAAGUUUUUCGGUCCGGGAUGGCCUCGCGGCCUAUCAGCUAGUUGGUGGGGUAACGGCCUACCAAGGCGACGACGGGUAGCUGGCGUGAGAGCGUGGCCAGCCACACUGGGACUGAGAUACGGCCCAGACUCCUACGGGAGGCAGCAGUGGGGAAUCUUGCACAAUGGGCGAAAGCCUGAUGCAGCGACGCCGCGUGAGGGAUGAAGGCCCUAGGGUUGUAAACCUCUUUCAGCAGGGACGAAGCGAAAGUGACGGUACCUGCAGAAGAAGCCCCGGCUAACUACGUGCCAGCAGCCGCGGUAAUACGUAGGGGGCGAGCGUUGUCCGGAUUUAUUGGGCGUAAAGAGCGCGUAGGUGGUUUGUAAAGUCGGAUGUGAAAGUCCAGGGCUUAACCCUGGGAUGCCAUUCGAUACUUGCAGACUAGAGCAUGGUAGGGGGAUCUGGAAUUCCUGGUGUAGCGGUGAAAUGCGCAGAUAUCAGGAGGAACACCGGUGGCGAAGGCGGGAUCCUGGGCCAUUGCUGACACUGAGGCGCGAAAGCUGGGGGAGCGAACAGGAUUAGAUACCCCCGUAGUCC